rnacentral:rRNA from 1 species
GACGAACGCUGGCGGCGUGCCUAAUACAUGCAAGUCGAACGCUUCUUUUUCACCGGGUGCUUGCACCCACCGAGAAAGAGGAGUGGCGGACGGGUGAGUAACACGUGGGCAACCUGCCCAUCAGAGGGGGAUAACACUUGGAAACAGGUGCUAAUACCGCAUAAUUCUUUUUGUCGCCUGACAGAAAGAUAAAAAGACGCUUUCGGGUGUCACUGAUGGAUGGGCCCGCGCUGCAUUAGCUAGUUGGUGGGGUAACGGCCUACCAAGGCUGCGAUGCAUAGCCGACCUGAGAGGGUGAUCGGCCACACUGGGACUGAGACACGGCCCAG